rnacentral:tRNA from 1 species
UGUGGUAGCUCAGUUGGUAGAGCGAUAGGCUUUUAACCUAUUGGUCGUGGGUUCGAGCCCCAUCCA